UAGAAGAAGGCGCGUUCAUAAACCUGCUUGCCCCUUUGUUCAAUGAGAAGGCCACACUGUUACUGGAAUCCAGGAGGCUAAGAAGUCCCGCUUGCCAAUCUUAAUAAAACCAUCCCGGUCAUUAGGAAAUAUGUAUCGUCUCCCUGCCACCCAGGAGGUGAUGACGCAGCUGCAGAGCCAGAUCUUGGAGCUGCAGGGGGAGCUGAAGGAGUUUAAAACUUGUAAUAAGCAACUUCACCAAAAGUUAAUUCUGGCUGAAGCAGUGAUGGAGGGGAGGCCAACGCCCGACAAAAUGUUGCUGAAUGCUCAGCCCCCUGUGGGACCAGCCUACCAGGACAGCCCAGGAGAGCAGAAAGGAAUUAAAACCACAUCUUCUGUCUGGAGAGACAAGGAAAUGGACAGUGAUCAGCAAACAAGCUACGAGAUCGACUCUGAGAUUUGCCCACCUGAUGACCUUGCCAGCUUGCCAUCAUGCAAAGAAAAUCCUGAAGAUGUUCUGAGCCCAACUUCAGUAGCUACUUACCUGAGUUCCAAGAGUCAGCCUUCUGCUAAAGUCAGUGUGAUGGGGACUGAUCAGUCAGAGAGCAUUAAUACCUCAAAUGAGACAGAAU
rnacentral:sRNA from 1 species